CAGCCGCCGCGGUAAUACGAAGGGGGCUAGCGUUGUUCGGAAUUACUGGGCGUAAAGCGCACGUAGGCGGAUAUUUAAGUCUGGGGUGAAAUCCCAGAGCUCAACUCUGGAACUGCCUUUGAUACUGGGUAUCUUGAGUAUGGAAGAGGUGAGUGGAAUUCCGAGUGUAGAGGUGAAAUUCGUAGAUAUUCGGAGGAACACCAGUGGCGAAGGCGGCUCACUGGUCCAUUACUGACGCUGAGGUGCGAAAGCGUGGGGAGCAAACAGGAUUAGAUACCCCCGUAGUCCCUGUCUCUUAUAC
rnacentral:rRNA from 1 species